UACGAGUGGUGCAAGCGUUAUUCGGAUUUAUUGGGCGUACAGGGUGCGCAGGCGGCGUAUUAAGUCAAUUGUCAAAAACCUUGGCCUAACUGAGGAUCGGCAGUAGAUACUGGUAUGCUAGAGGGUGGAAGAGAGAAGUGGAAUUCUUGGAGUAGCGGUAAAAUGCGUAGAUCUCAAGAGGAACACCGAUGGCGAAGGCAGCUUCUUGGUCCACAUCUGACGCUCAUGCACGAAAGCGUGGGGAGCAAACAGG
rnacentral:rRNA from 1 species